rnacentral:rRNA from 1 species
CAGCCGCCACGGUAAUACGUAGGGUGCAAGCGUUAAUCGGAAUUACUGGGCGUAAUGCGUGCGCAGGCGGUUCGUUAAGACAGAUGUGAAAUCCCCGGGCUUAACCUGGGAACCGCAUUUGUGGCUGGCGGGCUAGAGUAUGGCAGAGGGGGGUAGAAUUCCACGUGUAGCAGUGAAAUGCGUAGAGAUGUGGAGGAAUACCGAUGGCGAAGGCAGCCCCCUGGGCCAAUACUGACGCUCAUGCACGAAAGCGUGGGGAGCAAACAGGAUUAGAUACCCGCGUAGUCCCUGUCUCUUAUAC